UAAUGUUGGCAAAAGGCGUCUAGGGAAUGGAGGCCCUAUGUCUAAAAGGCUCAACUCAGGGAUUGGAGCCCUAAUGUUGGCAAAAAGCGACUAGGGAAUGGAGGCCCUAUGUCUAAAAGGCUUAACGCAGGGAUUGGAUCCCUAAUGUUGGGAUAAGAGUCGAUUAGGGAAUGGAUGCCAUAUAUCUAAAAAGGCUCAACUCAGAGAUAGGAGCCCUAAUGUUGGCAAAAGGCGAUAAUGGAAUGGAGGCCCUAUGUCUAAAACGCUCAACUCAGGGAUUGGAGCCCUAAUGUUGGCAAAAGGCGAUUAAGGAACGGAGGCACUAUGUCUAAAAGGCUCAACUCAGGGAUUGGAGCCCUAAUGUUGGAAAAGGCGACUAGGGACUGGAGGCCAUAUGUCUAAAAGGCUCAACUCAGGGAUUGGAGCCCUAAUAAUGGCAAAAAGGCGACUAGGGAAUGGAGGCCCUAUGUCUAAAAAGCUCAACUCAAGGAUUGGAUCUCUAAUGUUGGCAAAAGGCGACUAGGGAAUGGAGGCCCUAUGUCUAAAAGGCUCAACUCAGGGAUUGGAGCCCUAAUGUUGGCAAAAGAGUCGACUAGGGAAUGGAUUCCAUAUGUAUAAAAAGGCUCAACUCAGAGAUAGGUGCCCUAAUGUUGGCAAAAGGCGAUAAUGGAAUGGACGCCCUAUGUCUAAAACGCUCAACUCAGGGAUUGGAGCCCUAAUGUUGGCAAAAGGCGAUUAAGGAACGGAAGCACUAUGUCUAAAAGGCUCAACUCAGGGAUUGGAGCCCUAAUGUUGGGAUAAGAGUAGACUAGGGAAUGGAUGCCAUAUGUCUAAAAAGGCUCAACUCAGAGAUAAGAGCCCUAAUGUUGGCAAAAGGCGAUAAUGGAAUGGACGCCCUAUGUCUAAAACGCUCAACUCAGGGAUUGGAGCCCUAAUGUUGGCAAAAGGCGAUUAAGGAACGGAGGCACUAUGUCUAAAAGGCUCAACUCAGGGAUUGGAGCCCUAAUGUUGGCAAAAGCGACUAGGGAAUGGAGGCCCUAUGUCUCAAAGGCUCAACUCAGGGAUUGGAGCCCUAAUGUUGGCAAAAGGCGACGAGGGAAUGGAUACCCUAUGUCUAAAAGGCUCAAUUCAGGGAUUGGACCCAUAAUGUUGGCAAAAGGCGACUAAGGAAUGGAAGCCCUUUGUCUAAAAAUCUCAACUCAGGGAUUGGAGCUCUAAUGUUGGCAAAAGGAGACUAGAGAAUGGAGGAACUAUGUCUAAAAAGGCUCAACUAAGGGAUUGGAGCUCUAAUGUUGGCAAAAGGCGACUAGAGAAUGGAGGCCCUAUGUCUAAAAGGUUCAACUCGGGGAUUGGAGCCCUAAUGUUGGCAAAUGGAGACGAGGCAAUGGAGGCCUUAUGUAUAAAAAUCUCAACUCAGGGAUUGAAGCCCUAAUGUUGGUAAAAUAAGGCGCCUAGGGAAUGGAGGCCCUAUGUCUAAAAGGCUCAACUCCGAGAUUAGAGCCCUAAUGUUGGAAGAAAAAGCGACUUGGGAAUGGAGGCCCUAUGUCUAAAAAGGCUCAACUCAGGGAUUGUAGCCCUAAUGCUAGCAAAAGGUGACUAGGGAAUGGAGGCCAUAUGUCUAAAAGGCUCAAUUCAAGGAUUGGAGCCCUAAUGUUGGCAAAAGGUGACUAGGGAAUGAAGGCCCUAUAUCUAAAAAGGCUCAACACAAGGAUUGGAGCCCUAAUGUUGGCA
rnacentral:lncRNA from 1 species